UUGAUCUGCCCAGGGUAAGUCGGGGCCUAAGGCGAGGCCGACAGGCGUAGUCGAUGGAUAACCGGUUGAUAUUCCGGUACCCGCCGUGGAGCGUCAAACAUUGAAUCUGGUGAUGCUAAGCCCGUGAAGCCGUUCUGGACCCUUCGGGGGAAGGAAAGUGGUGGAGCCGGUGGCCCAGGCUGGUAGUAGGUGAGUGAUGGGGUGACGCAGGAAGGUAGUCCAUCCCGGGUGGUGGUUGUCCCGGGGUAAGGGUGUAGGGCGUUGGGUAGGUAAAUCCGCCUGACUUGUGGCCUGAGGCCUGAUGCCGAGCCGAUUGUGGUGAAGUGGAUGAUCCUAUGCUGUCGAGAAAAGCCUCUAGCGAGUUUUGUGGCGGCCCGUACCCUAAACCGACUCAGGUGGUCUGGUAGAGAAUACUGAGGCGUUCGGGUGAACUAUGGUUAAGGAACUCGGCAAAAUGCCCCCGUAACUUCGGGAGAAGGGGGGCCAUUCCUGGUGAGCAUCUGUGCGGUGUGAGCUGGGGGUGGCCGCAGAGACCAGCGAGAAGCGACUGUUUACUAAAAACACAGGUCCGUGCGAAGCUGUAAGGCGAUGUAUACGGACUGACGCCUGCCCGGUGCUGGAACGUUAAGGGGACCGGUUAGCUGGGGUUUCGAUUCUGGCGAGGCUGAGAACUUAAGCGCCAGUAAACGGCGGUGGUAACUAUAACCAUCCUAAGGUAGCGAAAUUCCUUGUCGGGUAAGUUCCGACCUGCACGAAUGGCGUAACGACUUCUCGGCUGUCUCAACCAUAGGCCCGGUGAAAUUGCAGUACGAGUAAAGAUGCUCGUUUCGCGCAGCAGGACGGAAAGACCCCGGGACCUUUACUAUAGUUUGAUAUUGGUGUUCGGUUCGGCUUGUGUAGGAUAGGUGGGAGACUGUGAAGCGUUCACGCUAGUGGGUGUGGAGUCGUUGUUGAAAUACCACUCUGGUCGUGCUGGAUGUCUAACCUGGGUCCGUGAUCCGGAUCGGGGACAGUGUCUGAUGGGUAGUUUAACUGGGGCGGUUGCCUCCUAAAGGGUAACGGAGGCGCCCAAAGGUUCCCUCAGCCUGGUUGGUAAUCAGGUGGUGAGUGUAAGUGCACAAGGGAGCUUGACUGUGAGACUGACGGGUCGAGCAGGUGCGAAAGCAGGGACUAGUGAUCCGGCAGUGGCGUGUGGAAGCGCUGUCGCUCAACGGAUAAAAGGUACCCCGGGGAUAACAGGCUGAUCUUCCCCAAGAGUCCAUAUCGACGGGAUGGUUUGGCACCUCGAUGUCGGCUCGUCGCAUCCUGGGGCUGGAGUCGGUCCCAAGGGUUGGGCUGUUCGCCCAUUAAAGCGGUACGCGAGCUGGGUUUAGAACGUCGUGAGACAGUUCGGUCCCUAUCCGCUGUGCGCGUUGGAGUCUUGAGAAGGGCUGUCCCUAGUACGAGAGGACCGGGACGGACGGACCUCUGGUGUGCCAGUUGUUCUGCCAAGGGCAUGGCUGGUUGGCUACGUUCGGGAGGGAUAACCGCUGAAAGCAUCUAAGCGGGAAGCCUGCUUCGAGAUGAGGACUCCUGCCCACUUGA
rnacentral:rRNA from 1 species